UACGUAGGGGCCUAGCGUUGUCCGGAUUUAUUGGGCGUAAAGAGCUCGUAGGCGGUUCGGUAAGUCAGGUGUGAAAUCUCCACGCUCAACGUGGAGGCGCCACCUGAAACUGCCGUGACUCGAGUCCGGUAGGGGAGUGUGGAAUUCCCGGUGUAGCGGUGAAAUGCGCAGAUAUCGGGAGGAACACCAGUGGCGAAGGCGGCCCCCUGGUUGGAUACUGACGCUGAUACGCGAAAGCGUGGGGAGCAAACAGG
rnacentral:rRNA from 1 species